CGUUUUACACGACAAGGAUGCUACACCAGCAGGCCCGUCAUCAUCUCAUCGGAGCAUUCAUCUGAGGUCGUGUAAUGCAAAAAAACAAACAAACAAAACAAACACCCCCCAAAAUGCGGGAAUUUAAAAUGACUGGAUGAUCCGAGCAGUGUUUUAGGCGAUCGACGAUAGCUGAUAGAGAAAUACACGUCCACCGCGCUGCCUGAUCACUUAAAUAUUAUUGUUACAGCGUAGGUAUUGUUGGGAGAGACCACUGGCAAACAGUAAACAGGUUGAAGGUAGGAUGGAUUUAGCCAUUAAUUUACAUGUUCAGUAAAUUCACGCGAAUGUUUUAAAUCUUAAAUGUGCCCGAGAGGUUCAAGAUAAAUAUUGACCUUAUGGAUGUACUUGACAUGUUUACUCAUCCCCAGUCUAUUUUGUUCUUACCUAGCAUAGCUACAGAUGCUAAGAGCGUUAUAUCCCGUAUGUGAUCAUCUUUGCCCGAUUGUUUCUUUUCCCGCUGUCGCAAUUUAAGAUGCUACAAAGUUCAGAUAUUUUGGGGCAUGAAAGACCCCUGGUUAUUAGGGUGUCAUUCGCCACCUGUGUUCUGGCGACUGUGUGCCUACCCCUGCUCGGGCUCAUCACUUGUGUCUUCAUAUCCUCUGUUUUUCAUUUUGAAGAUGCCACUGGUACACACUGCCAGGUUCCUAAUUACCUGCCAUCUAUAAGUGCCUCUAUCAGCUUAAGUCCUGAGUGCCACAUUUGGCGAUUCUGCAUUGGACUACACUCAGCACCAAGAUUACUGGUGGCUUUUACCUACUUCAAGUUUUACAAGGCUCGCUUUGCUACCAGGUUUCCAGAGAGUUCACUCAGCUGUUUGAACCUGGGCUUUUCUAUAUCUGAAAACCUUGGACUCUUGUUGCUCACAUAUGUAUCAUCCACUGAGACUUACUUUGUGCAUAAGGAAGGUUUUGUCUUGUUCAUUGUAAGUUCUCUUAUCUACAUGUUGAUAACCUGCCGUUUAUGGAAAUCUAUUAAGAAAUAUUCCCUAAAUCCUGAGGAUGCCAAGUCUCACCACUGGAAAGUGCGUUUCUUACUACUCAAUGUAAGCUUCUGUGCUUUUGCCGGAUUCUUUUACUGGAAACACAACAUGUACUGUGAAUCAGGGAGUUACACAUUUUUUGCCCUGUUUGAGUAUCUAGUUGUUUUCUCCAAUAUGGCCUUCCAUCUUACAGCCGUGUGGGACUUUAAGAGCCGGGAGGUCAUGCUCAUUUCAUCUUCAGAGGAUAAAGACUUCUGACUAGAAAGUCAAGGACUAGGUACUACAUGUACCACCCCUCAACCACCUGAUGACAGCAGCCUUGAUCCUGCUGAAGAGGAAGAGUGGGAUGAAGGCCUUUUCCAUAUAUUUCCAUGAUGACCACUCACAAAUCCUUAGACACAGACUCCUCUGCAGAUGAGCCAGCAGUCUGAGAUGCACAGGACGAGGAUGUAUCUAAACAGGGGAAAGUGCCAUCAACUUGACCUUGCUGUUGUCAAGACUGACGACCUGUCCAGGGUGUACCCCACCUCUCA